AGACACUUCCCUGAUUUCCUUGUUUUCUUCUGUGUGACAAGGAGCUCAAGAGCAAAGAGAAGCUCCCAAAGACUAAGCUACUUUCCAGAUGAGGACACGGAAACCCAGAACGUUUCAAUGAUUUUUCCAAGCUCAAACAGUGUACAGAAAUUGAGGCAGCCUGUUAUUGUGUGAAGAACACAGGAAUUGAAGUCAGAGAACCUGGAUUUCAGUUUUGACUUUGCUACAUAAGAAGUCCUGUGACCUUGUAAAGUUACUUUCC